rnacentral:lncRNA from 1 species
CAGAGCCACUGGGUUAGGACUUGUGGAGCGGUGCAUGCAGGAAGGAAAGGCUGCCCUAGAGGCAACACCUGUUUGAAAUGUCCCUGUUAUCUCUGUUUUAACCUGUUCUUCAGCUCAUCUUUCCUGCCUCUCCUGGCUUCUUUAUCUCUCCAGGAGAAAGCUCUGCCUUUCUCUUGAAUUCCCCAUGUAACUCACUGUUCUGUAACCUUGCGCUUAAUUGUCUGUCUCUUCCAGUAGACGGCGAGGGGUUUAAGGACCAGGUCUCCAGAGUGCGGCCCCUGGCAGGAUAAUGAAUGAUGAGUAAACGCACGAGUGAGUGAACCAUGUGGUGGAGCCAGACGCCAUCUUGAAAAACAUAGAUGAGAGUGGUCUCCCAAGAAGCCCUUCUGAUGACCAGCGAGCUAGAACCUGAGAAAUGAGGUCAAUGACCAAACAAAGACACGGCACUGGGUAUUUCCCUGCUAGAAUGUGUGGAAAUAUAUAAUAACACCAAACCCCAAUGAUGGAAAACAAGCUGUGAGUGGAAGUGGAGGCAUUUGGGAUUAAAUCCAGGGCCUUCAUGCUGAGGUACAUCCCCAGCCCUGUUUGUUUUCGAUUUUAAGAAAGGCUCUUGCUAAAUUGCCCGGGCUGGGCUCGAACAAUCCUGUCCGAGCCUCCCAGAGUGCUGGGAUCGCAGGCGUGUGCCACCACUCCCAGCAGUGUAAGCAUCCUUCUAACACCGAGAGUCACACGGGCCUCUUGGGGAAAACCUGAGCUGCCCCGGGAAGUACAAAUGUGAAGAGCGAUAGGUUCAUGGUGGUUCUAACCUUUCGUCUCUCUAUGGAAUCCUUUGAGAAUGUGAUGAAAGCUGAGGACAUUUUCUCAAGGAAAUUGCACACAUAUUUCUGACAAUAAAGAGGCUUUUUCAACUUGAGGCUCAUCUUUGGGUCCCGGUUUGUGUGAAUGGUGGAGUAGAUGUCCAUAGACCUCAAGUGUUUUAGUGUUCCAGAGCUGGAAUGGUAAAAUGUCAUACAUUGGGUGAUAUUUAUUUCCUCACAAUUCUGGGGGUUAGGAGUCCAUGAUCAGGGUGCCAAGAUAGUUGGGUUCUGGAAAGGACGCUCUUCCUGGCUUGCAAACUGCUACCAUCUUGUGUGUGUGUGUGUGUGUGUGUGUGUGUGUGUGUGUGUGAGAGAGAGAGAGAGACAGAGAGAGAGAGAGAGACAGAGAGAGAGACAGAGAGAGAGAGAGACAGAGAGAGACAGAGAGAGACAGAGAGAGAGAGAGAGAGAGAGAGAGAGAGAGGGAGGGACAGAGAGGCUCUCUGGUGUCUCUUUUCACGAGGGCAAUUAUCCCUUCAUGGAGACUCGAUCUUCGUGAGUUUAUCUGAACCCAAUAACCUCUUAAUACCAUCACAUUAGGCUGGGGCUUCAACAUAUGAGUUUUAGGAGACACAAAUCAGUCCACAGCACCAGGUCAUAAACCCUGUGCUACGGGAGUAAGGGUG